rnacentral:tRNA from 1 species
AUUUAUAUAGUUUAAGUAAAACAUUACAUUUUCAUUGUAAAAUUAAAUAAACAAUUUUAUAAAUU